rnacentral:rRNA from 1 species
UUGACGGGGCCCGCACAAGCGGUGGAGUAUGUGGUUUAAUUCGAUGCAACGCGAAGAACCUUACCUGGUCUUGACAUCCCGGAGACCCUUAGGAAACUAGGGGGUGCUUCCAUCUGGAAGAAUCUGGAGACAGGUGCUGCAUGGCUGUCGUCAGCUCGUGUCGUGAGAUGUUGGGUUAAGUCCCGCAACGAGCGCAACUCUUGCCUUUAGUUGCCAGCAGUUCGGCUGGGCACUCUAAAGGGACUGCCGGUGUUAAACCGGAGGAAGGUGGGGAUGACGUCAAGUCCUCAUGGCCUUUAUGACCAGGGCUACACACGUACUACAAUGGCCGAUACAAAGGGCAGCGACACUGCGAGGUGAAGCCAAUCCCGUAAAAUCGGUCUCAGUCCGGAUUGGAGUCUGCAACUCGACUCCAUGAAGUUGGAAUCGCUAGUAAUCGUGGAUCAGCAUGCCACGGUGAAUACGUUCCCGGGCCUU